rfam:Nicotiana sylvestris Nsyl_contig16283, whole genome shotgun sequence.
UGGACAGAUUAUUGUAUUCGACCUUAUUCACAACGUGAAAUAGGGGAUUACACUGUUUUUUUCAACGGAAAGUGAAUCAAUUAACAUAAUAGACUCUG